AACCGUUAAUUUAAGGUAGAAACUAAGCUUUAUAGCUUCGUAUAUAAAAAAUCACACAUUAGUCAAUAUACAUACGGGUAUUUGUCAGCGAACAAUCGUAUUCUGACGUCAUUUGCUCCUGGACUUCGACGAAGAAAGUUGUGCGCUCUCGGCGAAAAAAAAUUGAACCACAAGCAUAGAUUUUCUACCAACGAACGAGUAUAAAUACCAAUCAAAUACCAUAAAAAUGUCGACGAACCUCUGAGGAAGACGUUUCGAAGAAAUUUUGAAGAAAACGACGAAGAAAUGGCGGUAAAAUUGACACAAAAAAUUCGGCUUGGUCGAAGGACUUCCAAAUCAAGAUGGCGUCGCCUUCUUCUCCAAUCUGAAAAAUGGACCCAAAAUCAUUUUAGCCGGAUUGGACAUCAGCUAUAUAGGAUAUUUAUUACAGACGUAAGUUCUCCUAUAAUUUUUCAAGUAUGGAUUCAAACAUUUUAUUUAUCUCCUAAAUAUAAUCCUGUUGGAUAAAAAUUCACCCCCCCCCCAAAUUAUAUUACAGGUCCCCCCUGCAAAAUACAGCUUUAAUUACCUGUAAAAUGUAUUUUUCUAAUUUCCUGUAGUGAAUAUAUCAAAGCCAAGAUAAAGCAUAGCUAAAGAAAAACAGCAGAAGAUGGUGAGUUGUUUCUUCUCUGGUAAAUUAAUUUAUGCGAUAAGUCAAAAGGCCCAUACAGACCGAACGCGAUUUGGCAACGGGACUAGAUCGCGAGCAUGCUCGAAAAUCUAAACCCGCGGAAAUGAGGGACCAAUCGCAGUCUACAAUUCGACGCGAAUUUUCAAUGCCAUUUAACUUUAAAUAAUAUUUUUCUAUGUUUUUCAAAUAUUCGGAACCACUUAAGCAAUUUUAGCUAUUUGGUCUGCAUAUCUUGUAAAACUUUUAUCGGUUGACCGUUUUAUUUGUUUUUAAAAACUGAAAACUCGCGUCACGUUGUCGAAUCGCGUUAGGUCUGUAUGGAUCCUAAAGGUGGCUCCCUACUGGUUUUUUUUUUGCAGCUGGAAAAUUUACGAUUUUGGGUGUAUUUUUUUUACAAUUGUUUAGAAAAUACUACCUGAAGAGUAUGAAAUGUUCAAGUUAAAAUUGACGUCAGUGCCGUUGCUAUGGUAGCCAUGACGUUUUUAUAUGACCGGUUUUCUUUGGCUCUAAACUACUAUAAUUCGAAAAAAAAAGAACGGUGACUUCAUUUUAUAUUUUGUUAAUCUUUUCAUUAGUGUAAAUAAUUACUUGGCCAAAAAUAAUUUCAGUAGAGUUUUCAAAUUUAAAGCAACGUUUUUUCAUGCAACGAAAAAAUUCUACACUGGCUACCUUUUUAAAAAGAUGGAUAAUUAAUUAUUUUCGGAAAUUAAAAAACGUUUUAACAAAAUAAAAAGUUAAAUUAGUUCGCAAACAUUUCCACUGUAUUGUAUUUUAAAACAUCGGCCAUACUGACACAUCAUGGUUACCAUAGCAGCGACAAUGACAUCAUUUUUGAUAAAAUUAAAUGUGAAAUUCCGUGUGUAAAUGUGAAAGACCUUAAGCCCGGCGCACACUGGAGAUAUCAGCUGAGCUGAGCGUCAGUCGUGACUGUUGGCGUAAGUAUGUUCCCCCAGUGUGCGGUGGCGUUUUGAGCGAUUUCAGCCACGCGUGCCAUCGGCACCGAAUAUUCAACAUGUUGAAUAAUUUCAGUCACGAAUGAACAUUUCCCCCAAGUGUACGCGCUCGAAAAGCUAUCACCUUUCAUUGUAGAUCGACUAGGCAUGCGUAAUAAAACAUACGACAAAAGGGAAAUAAUCAAUGAGGAAUGUAAUACUUGAGUAGCGACAUAUGAAUAUUCCUCAUUAAUUAUUUUCCUUUUGAUAGUUUUGUUUGUGGAAACACCACGUAAAUUUAUUACUGCAACGUAAAUUUAUUUAUUUACGCGGUGUUUCCACAAACAAAACAAUCAUAUUUAUCGCCAUGCAAACAUACAAAGAACUUAUUAUUUUCCUUUUGCCUUAUGUUUUAUUACGCAUGCCUAUUCGAUCUACAAUGAAAGGUGAUAGCUUUUCGAGCGCGCACACUUGGGGGAAAUGUUCAUUCGUGAUUGAAAUUAUUCAACAUGUUGAAUGUUCGGUGCCGAUGGCACGCGUGGCUGAAGUCGCUCAAAACGCCACCGCACACUGGGGGAACUUGCUUUCGCCAACAGUCACUAGUGACGCUCAGCUCAGCUGAUAUCUCCAGUGUGCACCGGGCUUUAAGAUACAUUACGUCAUUGCACUACAUUGUACUGCAUAAUGAGCUACACAAUAAAGCGCUAUAUAGCAAAGUCAGGCGAACUUUAUGCACAUUUUUAAAUGUUUUUUAACGCAUGUGAAUACAUAUAUAUUUGCUGGGUUGCUUAUGAUACUAGUUGCUUUUCAACAAGUAACAAUUGUUAAAAAAGUCUGCCCUACAUCGUAAAAUUUCCUCUGGCCAUUUCUUUUUAAUUUUUAGCCUAAAAUUUUUAUUGCAUAUUUUUUGGUAGAGUGAUAUGAAGGCAACAACUCGACGACACAAUUAAAGCGAGAGCAAAGAGGAACAAGCAGAUGAGAAAGUGGUAGAAGACGUCGACAGAAUGACGACCAAAAGAAGCCACAACUAGCCAAAGAUGAUAGCAAAUGUACGGUUUGUCACUGUUAUUUAUGUUGUACACAAUUAAGAGAAUUCUGUUUAUUUUUAUGCAUUAUUCAUUACGUAUGCCACGGCAUUUUAUUUUCACCCGGAUUUUGUAGUUUUUUAAAAAGACGUUAAGUUUAGUAUUAUUUUAUUUAAAACUUAACUCAAAUUUACCGUUCAAGUCCAUUUGCAAGUCCUAUCGUUGCGCUUGUUAACAGAAUUUUUCUCCAUUUUUUAUGGUGGUUCACUGGAAAUUGAGCGGACCAUGAUGGAUCAUCAACAGAAAUGAAAAACCGCGACCAACAAAACAGAAGCAACAACGAUGCAAAGACACAAUGAAUGUAAGUUUCGCUGGUGAAAUUUCUGCAAUAAUUUAAAUAUUUUUGCCCUACGCGACGAGACUAUUGCUCAUGUUGAUUUCUACACCCUACUAUUCUUACUCAGCCGUAGCGAAUACUUCGCGAAAUAUGGGGGGCGGGCGAAUUUGAUUGCCAACAUCAUAUGACCACCUUCUGUAGCUGGAAAUCUCAAUUAUGUAAUCUUCUUUGCUAUAAAUUCCACGCAAUAUACAGCUUGAUUGAAGCCCCUGUUACUCAGUUAUUCCUUUAUUUCUGUGUGAUAUGCUGCACCCUGACUUUGUUGUACUUAAAAUUUAAAGAAAUUUUAGCAUUCCUAUCUUUAAUAGUAUAUUAAGUAAAUGUUUCCUGUAACACGUGCAGUGAUUUCACUAUACACAUAUUAAAGGAAACAUUUACUUAAUAUACUUUUAAAGAUAGGAAAGCUAAAAUUUCUUUAAUCUAUUUUGUUACUAAUGGGAAAUAUCCUUUCAUUUCAGAUGAAGACCUACAACCAACAGAUCCUACAACAUCGCCAAGAUGAGAGUAACGCAGAACGUCGAUGCCCGAUGCAAGAGAAAAACGAAAAUGCAAAAGUGAUUAAUAUAGAUGCAAAGAUACAGUGAAUGUAAGUUUUGCUGGUGUAAUUUAUGCAAUAAUUUAAAUAUUGUUGCCCUACGCGACGAGACUAUUGCUCAUGUUGAUUGCUACACCCUAUUAUUCUUACUCAGCCGUAGCAGACACUUCGCGAAAUAUUGGGGGCGGGCGAAUUUGAUUGCCAAAAUCAUAUGACCACCUUCUGUGGCUGGAAAUCUCAAUGAUGUAAUCUUCUUUGCCUUAAAUUUCACGCAAUAUACAGCUUGAUUGAAAAAUUCGUGGUUAAAAAAUUAUUGUUACAGCUUUGUUACAGGGGUGACCCCUCGCCCCAUCUGGUGUCCGCCCCUCUUACUCAGUUCUUCCUUUAUUUCUGUGUGAUAUGCUGCACCCUGAAUUUGGUGUACUUAAAAUUUAAAGAAAUUUCAGCAUUCCUAUCUUUAAAAGUGUAUUAAGUAAAAGUUUCCUGUAACACGUGUAGUGAUUUCACUACACAUAUUAAAGGAAACAUUUACUUAAUAUACUUUUGAAGAUAGGAAAGGUAAAAUUUCUUUAAUCUAUUUUGUUACUAAUGGGAAAUAUCCUUUCAUUUCAGAUGAAGACCUACAACCAACAGAUCCUACAACAUCGCCAAGAUGAGAGUAACGCAGAACGUCGAUGCCCGAUGCAAGAGAAAAACGAAAAUGCAAAAGUGAUUAAUAUAGAUGCAAAGAUACAGUGAAU
rnacentral:lncRNA from 1 species